rnacentral:rRNA from 1 species
UACGUAGGGUGCGAGCGUUAAUCGGAAUUACUGGGCGUAAAGCGUGCGUAGGCGGUUGGCAAAGUCAGCUGUGAAAGCCCCGGGCUCAACCUGGGAACUGCAUUGGAAACUGACGGGCUCGAGUGUGGCAGAGGGGGGUGGAAUUCCACGUGUAGCAGUGAAAUGCGUAGAGAUGUGGAGGAACACCGAUGGCGAAGGCAGCCCCCUGGGCUAACACUGACGCUCAGGCACGAAAGCGUGGGGAGCGAACGGG